rnacentral:tRNA from 1 species
UGUGGCUCAGUGGUAGAGUGUUUGCCUAACAUGCACAAAGGUCCUAGGUUCCAUCCCUAGCA